rfam:Triticum aestivum genome assembly, contig: Triticum_aestivum_CS42_TGACv1_scaffold_225058_3B
AACAUACUCCCUCCGUCAGGAAAUACUUGUCUUCAAAAUGGAUAAAAGAAGAUGUAUCUAGAUGUAUUUUAGUUGUACAUACAUCUCUUUUUAUCCAUUUUGAUGACAAGUAUUUUCGGAUGGAGGGAGUAUAUU